AGAUCGGUGAGGUUCAUGUCCCGUUCCAGCACUCUCGUAUCCCUGAUCGUCAACCCGUGUGUACCGACCUGUUCUCCGACCGACCCCGCCUUCUAAUAAUAAACGUUUUUCAACGAACUACCUUGCAUCUGACGAAUCCUGCAUUUGGGUCCUUCCUUUGUUCCAAUGGGUCGUGACAGGAACCAUCGCAAGCUUCCUGCACCAAAGUCAGUUUGCCAACAAGCUAUGGCCACUAGAUGCGGUAGGAAAGCUGCUCCAGAUUGUCGCUGAAUGGAGGGUGCCCUGGUGAACCAAAACAUAUUUCUUCACAAACGCCAUGGCUGGCACAGAGGAUGACAUGCUGUGGGAGCAAGAUGGGUUGUUCAUGAUGCAAUGCAGGAGGCACCGGAAGUGGACCAAGUCAUCAAUGAGGAGUUUGACAGUGAUCCACCGAAGGUAGUUAAAUUUUUCGGAUUGGAGAUUAGUCAGAUGCUUCUUUUGAAGUCUUGGCCUAGAAUGUGUAAUGUAGAGGAUAAACUCCACGAUGCACAAAUAUUUAAUGCAAAAAAAAACUGUUAAAGUGUUAAAUUGUUUAUUUAUUUAAGACAGAAGAUAUGUAACAGUAUCAAAAUGUUAUGCCAUCAUCGAGCAUUUAUUUUAGCCGGUUGAGGGAUUCUAUUGUGACAAUUACAGGGACCAAGACAAGCGUGUCCCAAGUUAUAGAUUAAGUAAUUAUGCAUGAUUGUUGUACAGUUUUUGAAAAACACUACAAGUACAAACCUAACAAAAUAUAAAUACAGAUAAUUCCUAAUAUUUUGAGGAUAUGGGUAGCAGCAAAU